GGGGUUGUGGCUCAGUGGUAAAUCGCUUGCCUAGCAUGUAUGAGGCAUUGGGUUCGAUUCUCAGCACCACA
rnacentral:tRNA from 1 species